AUUGAACGCUGGCGGCAUGCCUUACACAUGCAAGUCGAACGGCAGCACGGACUUCGGUCUGGUGGCGAGUGGCGAACGGGUGAGUAAUGUAUCGGAACGUACCUUUCAGUGGGGGAUAACGUAGCGAAAGUUACGCUAAUACCGCAUAUUCUGUGAGCAGGAAAGCAGGGGAUCGCAAGACCUUGCGCUGAUUGAGCGGCCGAUAUCAGAUUAGCUAGUUGGUGGGGUAAAGGCCUACCAAGGCUACGAUCUGUAGCGGGUCUGAGAGGAUGAUCCGCCACACUGGAACUGAGACACGGUCCAGACUCCUACGGGAGGCAGCAGUGGGGAAUUUUGGACAAUGGGGGCAACCCUGAUCCAGCCAUGCCGCGUGAGUGAAGAAGGCCU
rnacentral:rRNA from 1 species